rnacentral:tRNA from 1 species
GACCGCAUAGCUCAGUUGGCAGAGCAUUGGGCUAGUAUUCCAAAGGUCGUAGGUUCGAUUCCCACCUUGGCCA